UACGUAGGGUGCAAGCGUUGUCCGGAAUUAUUGGGCGUAAAGAGCUCGUAGGCGGUCUGUCGCGUCGGCUGUGAAAACCUGGGGCUUAACUCCGGGCCUGCAGCCGAUACGGGCAGACUAGAGUUCGGCAGGGGAGACUGGAAUUCCGUGGUGUAGGCGGUGAAAUGCGCAGAUAUCAAGGAGGAACACCGGUGGCGAAGGCGGGUCUCUGGGCCGAUACUGACGCUGGAGGAGCGAAAGCGUGGGGAGCAAACAGG
rnacentral:rRNA from 1 species